GGAUUCUUCCGUGUGGACGUGGCAACCUUACCCAUAACUAAUCCUGGUUCUGCUGGGGAUCUCAUCCUGUUCAAAGCGAGUUCUUCCUUCUCACCCCCAAGUGCUUGUUCAUAGGGAAUCAAGUGAUUGUUAACAUUGGAGGAUGCCAACUGAAAAUUGGUGUUGCCAGAAGCCUGGGGACACAAUGGGGACAAUGAACUGCUCUUAGGAUGCCAGGAUCACUAAAUUAUGGUGCAAGUAUUGUACUACAUUGUUUUCUCUCUCUACACUUUGAAAUAUUUUCAGUCGUUUUAAAUUUAAAAAAAAAUCUUUUUUUCCACCACAUGCUCUUAGAUAAAGAAGCUUCCACCUUCCCUGCGCCUCCUCUUCUUAGUUGGUCAUUUUAGAGGUCACCAUAACCACAGCAAAUAAUCUGUCUCCAGCUCUUCCCAUCCCUAACAUCCUCCUGGGGGCGAUCGUGGCUCAAGAGUUGGGAGUUUGGUCGUUGUGUCCUUGGGCAAG